AGUGAACGCUGGCGGUAGGCCUAACACAUGCAAGUCGAACGGCAGCACAGAGGAGCUUGCUCCUUGGGUGGCGAGUGGCGGACGGGUGAGGAAUACAUCGGAAUCUACUCUGUCGUGGGGGAUAACGUAGGGAAACUUACGCUAAUACCGCAUACGACCUACGGGUGAAAGCAGGGGAUCUUCGGACCUUGCGCGAUUGAAUGAGCCGAUGUCGGAUUAGCUAGUUGGCGGGGUAAAGGCCCACCAAGGCGACGAUCCGUAGCUGGUCUGAGAGGAUGAUCAGCCACACUGGAACUGAGACACGGUCCAGACUCCUACGGGAGGCAGCAGUGGGGAAUAUUGGACAAUGGGCGCAAGCCUGAUCCAGCCAUACCGCGUGGGUGAAGAAGGCCUUCGGGUUGUAAAGCCCUUUUGUUGGGAAAGAAAUCCAGCCGGCUAAUACCUGGUUGGGAUGACGGUACCCAAAGAAUAAGCACCGGCUAACUUCGUGCCAGCAGCCGCGGUAAUACGAAGGGUGCAAGCGUUACUCGGAAUUACUGGGCGUAAAGCGUGCGUAGGUGGUUAUUUAAGUCCGUUGUGAAAGCCCUGGGCUCAACCUGGGAACUGCAGUGGAUACUGGAUGACUAGAAUGUGGUAGAGGGUAGCGGAAUUCCUGGUGUAGCAGUGAAAUGCGUAGAGAUCAGGAGGGAACAUCCAUGGCGAAGGCGGCUACCUGGACCCACAUUGACACUGAGGCACGAAAGCGUGGGGGAGCACACAGG
rnacentral:rRNA from 1 species